rnacentral:rRNA from 1 species
CCUACGGGUGGCAGCAGUGGGGAAUAUUGGGCAAUGGGCGCAAGCCUGACCCAGCAACGCUGCGUGAAGGAAGAAGGCUUUCGGGUUGUAAACUGCUUUAGACAGGGAAGAAAAAAGACAGUACCUGUAGAAUAAGCUCCGGCUAACUACGUGCCAGCAGCCGCGGUAAUACGUAGGGAGCAAGCGUUAUCCGGAUUUAUUGGGUGUAAAGGGUGCGUAGACGGAGAAGCAAGUUAGUUGUGAAAUCCCUCGGCUUAACUGAGGAACUGCAACUAAAACUACUUCCCUUGAGUACUGGAGAGGAAAGUGGAAUUCCUAGUGUAGCGGUGAAAUGCGUAGAUAUUAGGAGGAACACCAGUGGCGAAGGCGACUUUCUGGACAGUAACUGACGUUGAGGCACGAAAGUGUGGGGAGCAAACAGGAUUAGAUACCCGUGUAGUC